GGUUCAUUCAAAUUUCUGCCCUAUCAACUUUCGAUGGCAGGUCUUGGCCUGCCAUGGUUACAACGGGUAACGGAGGGUUAGGGCUCGACCCCGGAGAAGGAGCCUGAGAAACGGCUACUACAUCCAAGGAAGGCAGCAGGCGCGCAAAUUACCCAAUCCCGACCGGGGAGGUAGUGACAAUAAAUACUGAUACAGGGCUCUUUUGGGUCUUGUAAUUGGAAUGAGUACAAUUUAAAUCCCUUAACGAGGAACAAUUGGAGGGCAAGUCUGGUGCCAGCAGCCGCGGUAAUUCCAGCUCCAAUAGCGUAUAUUAAAGUUGUUGCAGUUAAAAAGCUCGUAGUUG
rnacentral:rRNA from 1 species